rnacentral:tRNA from 1 species
CGGGGUGUAGCGAAUCGGUAUCGCGCUUGUUUCGGGUGCAAGAGGCAGUGGGUUCAAUUCCCGCCACCCCGACCA